rnacentral:rRNA from 1 species
GACGAACGCUGGCGGCGUGCUUAACACAUGCAAGUCGAACGGAAAGGCCCUGCUUUUGUGGGGUUCUCGAGUGGCGAACGGGUGAGUAACACGUGAGUAACCUGCCCUUGACUUUGGGAUAACUUCAGGAAACUGGGGCUACUACCGGAUAGGAGCUCCUGCUGCAUGGUGGGGGUUGGAAAGUUUCGGCGGUUGGGGAUGGACUCGCGGCUUAUCAGCUUGCUGGUGGGGUAGUGGCUUACCAAGGCUUUGACGGGUAGCCGGCCUGGGAGGGUGACCGGCCACAUUGGGACUGAGGUACGGCGCAGACUCCUACGGGAGGCAGCAGUGGGGAAUAUUGCACAAUGGGCGGAAGCCUGAUGCAGCAACGCCGCGGGCGGGAUGACGGCCUUCGGGUUGUAAACCGCUUUCGCCUGUGACGAAGCGUGAGUGACGGUAAUGGGUAAAGAAGCACCGGCUAACUACGUG